rnacentral:tRNA from 1 species
GGGCGGGAAGCCCAGUGGACAUGGCAUCUGUCCGGUAAGCGGAACGUUGUGGGUUCGAUUCCCGCCCCUGGCCA